UACGUAGGGCGCAAGCGUUAUCCGGAAUUAUUGGGCGUAAAGAGCUCGUAGGCGGUUUGUCGCGUCUGCCGUGAAAGUCCGGGGCUCAACUCCGGAUCUGCGGUGGGUACGGGCAGACUAGAGUGAUGUAGGGGAGACUGGAAUUCCUGGUGUAGCGGUGAAAUGCGCAGGAUAUCAGGAGGAACACCGGUGGCGAAGGCGGGUCUCUGGGCCGAUACUGACGCUGAGGAGCGAAAGCGUGGGGAGCAAACAGG
rnacentral:rRNA from 1 species